UCGAACGGGAUCCAUCCUUCGGGAUGGUGAGAGUGGCGGACGGGUGAGUAACGCGUGGGAACCUGCCCAGUGGUGGGGGAUAACUGCGGGAAACUGCAGCUAAUACCGCAUGAGCCCGAGAGGGGAAAGAUUUAUCGCCAUUGGAGGGGCCCGCGUUCGAUUAGGUAGUUGGUGAGGUAAUGGCUCACCAAGCCGACGAUCGAUAGCUGGUCUGAGAGGAUGAUCAGCCACACUGGGACUGAGAUACGGCCCAGACUCCUACGGGAGGCAGCAGUGGGGAAUAUUGGACAAUGGGGGCAACCCUGAUCCAGCAAUGCCGCGUGAGUGAUGAAGGCCUUCGGGUUGUAAAGCUCUUUUGCCAGGGACGAUGAUGACGGUACCUGGAGAAUAAGCCCCGGCUAACUUCGUGCCAGCAGCCGCGGUAAUACGAAGGGGGCAAGCGUUG
rnacentral:rRNA from 1 species